CCCUUAGAUGUUCUGGGCCGCACGCGCGCUACACUGACGAAGUCAGCGAGCAUGUCCUACGCCGACAGGUGCGGGGAAUCUUGUCAAACUUCGUCGUGAUGGGGAUUGAUUAUUGAAAUUCUUGAUCAUCAACGAGGAAUUCCUAGUAAGCGCAAGUCAGCAGCUUGCGUUGAUUACGUCCCUGCCCUUUGUACACACCGCCCGUCGCUACUACCGAUUGAAUGGUUUAGUGAGAUCUUCGGAUUGGCGCCACUGCGGCUCAGCAAUGGGCUCGGUGGAUGCCGAAAAGUUGAUCAAACUUGAUCAUUUAGAGGAAGUAAUAGUCGUAACA
rnacentral:rRNA from 1 species